GGAUCAAGGAUGCUGUUGACAGUUGAGGAAUUCAUGCUGUCUUUUCUAAGACACAGAUCAAGGUUGCUUUUGAAUGCACUAUCAGUUGUUAAAGCCACCGUUUCUUUUUCAGAUGAUUACAUUUUUGUCUCUUGCUCUUUGGUUUCGGACAUUACACGAUGAUCUACUGUCUGGAAAGAUCCGCUCCAACAGAAUGUUCCUUUGGAGGAAUCCCGCCACCUCACUCCGACUAAAGCAGCAUCUUAAGAUAAGGACACUAAGUUGGAGUGAGCAGCGCGUAAGUAAAAAUGCCAUCCAUCAUGAGUAUUUUUACUCUCAGGGGUGUUACAUUUGAAAGGUGUUUACUUUCUGUGUUUUUCUUCAAUAGAUGUUCGAGCUCCUGCGGUUCAUUGAGGUGGCAACAAACAUUUCUAAAAAAAUAAAGAGAGGCGAGAUUCAUCUGCUUGAUUUCGUUUUUGACGUCAUGCUCCCAGAG